AACCCGACUCCAUGAAGCUGGAUUCGCUAGUAAUCGCGCAUCAGCCACGGCGCGGUGAAUACGUUCCCGGGUCUUGUACACACCGCCCGUCAAGCCAUGGAAGCCGGGAGUGCCUGAAGUACGCGACCGCAAGGAGCGUCCUAAGGUAAAACCGGUGACUGGGGCUAAGUCGUAACAAGGUAGC
rnacentral:rRNA from 1 species